UGUAAGUAAGCUUUGAUCCAGAGAUUUCCGAAUGGGGAAACCCAGCAUGAGUUAUGUCAUGUUAUCGAUAUGUGAAUACAUAGCAUAUCAGAAGGCACACCCGGAGAACUGAAACAUCUUAGUACCCGGAGGAAGAGAAAGAAAAUUCGAUUCCCUUAGUAGCGGCGAGCGAAACGGGAAGAGCCCAAACCAACAAGCUUGCUUGUUGGGGUUGUAGGACACUCUAUACGGAGUUACAAAGGACGACAUUAGACGAAUCAUCUGGAAAGAUGAAUCAAAGAAGGUAAUAAUCCUGUAGUCGAAAAUGUUGUCUCUCUUGAGUGGAUCCUGAGUACGACGGAGCACGUGAAAUUCCGUCGGAAUCUGGGAGGACCAUCUCCUAAGGCUAAAUACUCUCUAGUGACCGAUAGUGAACCAGUACCGUGAGGGAAAGGUGAAAAGCACCCCGGAAGGGGAGUGAAAUAGAACCUGAAACCGUGUGCUUACAAGUAGUCAGAGCCCGUUAAUGGGUGAUGGCGUGCCUUUUGUAGAAUGAACCGGCGAGUUACGAUUUGAUGCAAGGUUAAGCAGUAAAUGUGGAGCCGUAGCGAAAGCGAGUCUGAAUAGGGCGUUUAGUAUUUGGUCGUAGACCCGAAACCAGGUGAUCUACCCUUGGUCAGGUUGAAGUUCAGGUAACACUGAAUGGAGGACCGAACCGACUUACGUUGAAAAGUGAGCGGAUGAACUGAGGGUAGCGGAGAAAUUCCAAUCGAACCUGGAGAUAGCUGGUUCUCUCCGAAAUAGCUUUAGGGCUAGCCUCAAGUGAUGAUUAUUGGAGGUAGAGCACUGUUUGGACGAGGGGCCCCUCUCGGGUUACCGAAUUCAGACAAACUCCGAAUGCCAAUUAAUUUAACUUGGGAGUCAGAACAUGGGUGAUAAGGUCCGUGUUCGAAAGGGAAACAGCCCAGACCACCAGCUAAGGUCCCAAAAUAUAUGUUAAGUGGAAAAGGAUGUGGCGUUGCCCAGACAACUAGGAUGUUGGCUUAGAAGCAGCCAUCAUUUAAAGAGUGCGUAAUAGCUCACUAGUCGAGUGACACUGCGCCGAAAAUGUACCGGGGCUAAACAUAUUACCGAAGCUGUGGAUUGUCCUUUGGACAAUGGUAGGAGAGCGUUCUAAGGGCGUUGAAGCAUGAUCGUAAGGACAUGUGGAGCGCUUAGAAGUGAGAAUGCCGGUGUGAGUAGCGAAAGACGGGUGAGAAUCCCGUCCACCGAUUGACUAAGGUUUCCAGAGGAAGGCUCGUCCGCUCUGGGUUAGUCGGGUCCUAAGCUGAGGCCGACAGGCGUAGGCGAUGGAUAACAGGUUGAUAUUCCUGUACCACCUAUAAUCGUUUUAAUCGAUGGGGGGACGCAGUAGGAUAGGCGAAGCGUGCGAUUGGAUUGCACGUCUAAGCAGUAAGGCUGAGUAUUAGGCAAAUCCGGUACUCGUUAAGGCUGAGCUGUGAUGGGGAGAAGACAUUGUGUCUUCGAGUCGUUGAUUUCACACUGCCGAGAAAAGCCUCUAGAUAGAAAAUAGGUGCCCGUACCGCAAACCGACACAGGUAGUCAAGAUGAGAAUUCUAAGGUGAGCGAGCGAACUCUCGUUAAGGAACUCGGCAAAAUGACCCCGUAACUUCGGGAGAAGGGGUGCUCUUUAGGGUUAACGCCCAGAAGAGCCGCAGUGAAUAGGCCCAAGCGACUGUUUAUCAAAAACACAGGUCUCUGCUAAACCGUAAGGUGAUGUAUAGGGGCUGACGCCUGCCCGGUGCUGGAAGGUUAAGAGGAGUGGUUAGCUUCUGCGAAGCUACGAAUCGAAGCCCCAGUAAACGGCGGCCGUAACUAUAACGGUCCUAAGGUAGCGAAAUUCCUUGUCGGGUAAGUUCCGACCCGCACGAAAGGCGUAACGAUUUGGGCACUGUCUCAACGAGAGACUCGGUGAAAUCAUAGUACCUGUGAAGAUGCAGGUUACCCGCGACAGGACGGAAAGACCCCGUGGAGCUUUACUGUAGCCUGAUAUUGAAAUUCGGCACAGCUUGUACAGGAUAGGUAGGAGCCUUUGAAACGUGAGCGCUAGCUUACGUGGAGGCGCUGGUGGGAUACUACCCUAGCUGUGUUGGCUUUCUAACCCGCACCACUUAUCGUGGUGGGAGACAGUGUCAGGCGGGCAGUUUGACUGGGGCGGUCGCCUCCUAAAAGGUAACGGAGGCGCUCAAAGGUUCCCUCAGAAUGGUUGGAAAUCAUUCAUAGAGUGUAAAGGCAUAAGGGAGCUUGACUGCGAGACCUACAAGUCGAGCAGGGUCGAAAGACGGACUUAGUGAUCCGGUGGUUCCGCAUGGAAGGGCCAUCGCUCAACGGAUAAAAGCUACCCCGGGGAUAACAGGCUUAUCUCCCCCAAGAGUUCACAUCGACGGGGAGGUUUGGCACCUCGAUGUCGGCUCAUCGCAUCCUGGGGCUGUAGUCGGUCCCAAGGGUUGGGCUGUUCGCCCAUUAAAGCGGUACGCGAGCUGGGUUCAGAACGUCGUGAGACAGUUCGGUCCCUAUCCGUCGUGGGCGUAGGAAAUUUGAGAGGAGCUGUCCUUAGUACGAGAGGACCGGGAUGGACAUACCUCUGGUGUACCAGUUGUCGUGCCAACGGCAUAGCUGGGUAGCUAUGUGUGGACGGGAUAAGUGCUGAAAGCAUCUAAGCAUGAAGCCCCCCUCAAGAUGAGAUUUCCCAACUUCGGUUAUAAGAUCCCUCAAAGAUGAUGAGGUUAAUAGGUUCGAGGUGGAAGCAUGGUGACAUGUGGAGCUGACGAAUACUAAUCGAUCGAAGACUUAAUCAA
rnacentral:rRNA from 1 species